ACUGCUCAGUAACACGUGGAUAACCUGCCCAAGGGUCCGGGAUAACCCCGGGAAACUGGGGAUAAUACCGGAUGGAUCACUAGUGCUGGAAUGCUUGGUGGUCGAAAGGUAACGCCUUUGGAUGGGUCUGCGGCGGAUUAGGUUGACGCCGGUGUAACGUACCGGCGUGCCUGUAAUCCGUACGGGUUGUGGGAGCAAGAGCCCGGAGAUGGAUUCUGAGACACGAAUCCAGGCCCUACGGGGCGCAGCAGGCGCGAAAACUCUACAAUGCAGGCAACUGCGAUAGGGGGACAUCGAGUGGCAUCCGCCUUGGGUGCCUGUCCAACCGUCUAAAAAACGGUUGUUAGCAAGGGCCGGGUAAGACCGGUGCCAGCCGCCGCGGUAAUACCGGCGGCUCGAGUGGUGGCCGAUAUUAUUGAGUCUAAAGGGUCCGUAGCCGGCUUUGCAAGUCCCCUGGGAAAUCCAGCGGCUUAACCGUUGGGCUUUCAUGGGAUACUACAUUGCUUGGGACUGGGAGAGGUAGGAGGUACUCGGGGGGUAGGGGUGAAAUCCUGUAAUCCUCCGGGGACCACCGGUGGCGAAGGCGUCCUACCAGAACAGGUCCGACGGUGAGGGACGAAAGCUAGGGGCACGAACCGGAUUAGAUACCCGGGUAGUCCUAGCCGUAAACGAUGCCCGCUAGGUGUCACGACGGUCGUGAAUCGUCGUGGUGCCGUAGGGAAGCCGCGAAGCGGGCCACUUGGGAAGUACGGCCGCAAGGCUGAAACUUAAAGGAAUUGGCGGGGGAGCAC
rnacentral:rRNA from 1 species